rnacentral:rRNA from 1 species
AGUGAACGCUGGCGGUAGGCCUAACACAUGCAAGUCGAACGGCAGCACAGUAGAGCUUGCUCUUACGGGUGGCGAGUGGCGGACGGGUGAGGAAUACAUCGGAAUCUACUUUUUCGUGGGGGAUCACGUAGGGAAACUUACGCUAAUCCCGCAUACGACCUACGGGCGAAAGCCGGGGGUCUUCGGACCUUGCGCGAUUGCAUAAGCCGAUGUCGGAUUAGCUAGUUGGCGGGGUAAAGGCCCACCAAGGCGACGAUCCGUAGCUGGUCUGAGAGGAUGAUCAGCCACACUGGAACUGAGACACGGUCCAGACUCCUACGGGAGGCAGCAGUGGGGAAUAUUGGACAAUGGGCGCAAGCCUGAUCCAGCCAUACCGCGUGGGUGAAGAAGGCCUUCGGGUUGUAAAGCCCUUUUGUUGGGAAAGAAAAGCAGCAGGUUAAUACCCCGCUGUUCUGACGGUACCCAAAGAAUAAGCACCGGCUAACUUCGUG